UACGGGGGAUGCAAGCGUUAUCCGGAAUCAUUGGGCGUAAAGCGCCUGUAGGUUGUUUAAUAAGUCUGUUGUUAAAGACUAGGGCUCAACCCUAGAAAAGCAAUGGAAACUAAUAGACUAGAGUAUGGCAGGGGUAGAGGGAAUUUCUAGUGUAGCGGUGAAAUGCGUAGAUAUUAGAAAGAACACCAGUGGCGAAAGCGCUCUACUGGACCAUUACUGACACUCAGAGGCGAAAGCUAGGGUAGCAAAAGGGAUUAGAUACCCCUGUAGUCCUAGCCGUAAACGAUGGAUACUAGAUGUUGUGUUAUAUCACAGUAUCGCAGCUAACGCGUUAAGUAUCCCGCCUGGGGAGUACGCUCGCAAGGGUG
rnacentral:rRNA from 1 species